rnacentral:rRNA from 1 species
GGUCCUACGGGAGGCAGCAGGGGGGAAUAUUGGGCAAUGGGCGCAAGCCUGACCCAGCAACGCCGCGUGAAGGAGGAAGGCCCUCGGGUUGUAAACUUCUUUUAUUCGGGACGAAACAAAUGACGGUACCGAAUGAAUAAGCCACGGCUAACUACGUGCCAGCAGCCGCGGGAAUACGUAGGUGGCAAGCGUUAUCCGGAUUUACUGGGUGUAAAGGGCGUGUAGGCGGGAGAGCAAGUCAGACGUGAAAGUCCAGUGCUCAACCCUGGAACUGCGGUUGAAACUGGUCUUC